rnacentral:ncRNA from 2 species
ACAUUCUUUUAUCCCUGACGGGUAAAUGUGGAAGAAACCACAGUGGGAUAAGAGUAUAUAUUAGCCGACCGUCUGGGCAGCAUUU